UACAGAGGGGGCAAGCGUUGUCCGGACUUACUGGGCGUAAAGCGCACGCAGGUGGCCGCGCAAGUGUUGUGUGAAAGCCCCGCGCUCAACGCGGGGAGGCCACGACAGACUGCGCAGCUUGAGGGAUGCAGAGGGUGGUGGAAUUGCCGGUGUAGUGGUGAAAUGCGUAGAGAUCGGCAGGAACACCAAGGCCGAAGGGAGCCACCUGG
rnacentral:rRNA from 1 species